rnacentral:rRNA from 1 species
UGGGGAAUAUUGCACAAUGGGCGCAAGCCUGAUGCAGCCAUGCCGCGUGUAUGAAGAAGGCCUUCGGGUUGUAAAGUACUUUCAGUCGGGAGGAAGGUGUCAAGGUUAAUAACCUUGGCAAUUGACGUUACCGACAGAAGAAGCACCGGCUAACUCCAUGCCAGCAGCCGCGGUAAUACGGAGGGUGCAAGCGUUAAUCGGAAUUACUGGGCGUAAAGCGCACGCAGGCGGUUGAUUGAGUCAGAUGUGAAAUCCCCGGGCUUAACCCGGGAAUUGCAUCUGAUACUGGUCAGCUAGAGUCUUGUAGAGGGGGGUAGAAUUCCAUGUGUAGCGGUGAAAUGCGUAGAGAUGUGGAGGAAUACCGGUGGCGAAGGCGGCCCCCUGGACAAAGACUGACGCUCAGGUGCGAAAGCGUGGGGAGCAAACAGG